rnacentral:rRNA from 1 species
GUCGUAACAAGGUUUCCGUAGGUGAACCUGCGGAAGGAUCAUUAUUGAAUUAACUUGGUUGGGUUGUUGCUGGCUCUUAGGAGCAUGUGCACGUCCACUCCAUUUUUCAACCACCUGUGCACACUUUGUAGGCUUGAAUAACUCUUCGAGGACACUCCUCGGUUUGAGAAUUGCUGUUAAGUGCAGCUUUUCUUGCAUUUCAAGUCUAUGUUUUUUAUAUAUACUCCAUAAGAAUGUAAUAGAAUGUAAAUUAUGGGCCUUUUGUGCCUUUAAAACAAAAACAACUUUCAACAACGGAUCUCUUGGCUCUCGCAUCGAUGAAGAACGCAGCGAAAUGCGAUAAGUAAUGUGAAUUGCAGAAUUCAGUGAAUCAUCGAAUCUUUGAACGCACCUUGCGCUCCUUGGUAUUCCGAGGAGCAUGCCUGUUUGAGUGUCAUGAAAUUCUCAACCUCUCUGGCUUUUAUUAGCAAGUUAGGAUUGGAUUGUGGAAGCUGCUGGUUUUGUUAGAAAUCAGCUCUUCUUAAAUGUAUUAGCAAAAUCUUUGCAGACUAUCKCUGGUAUGAUAAUUAUCUAUACCAUUGAAAAGUAGCUCCUAUGGGAGGGUUUUGCUUCUAAUAGUCCAUCUGGACAAACUUGACAAUUUGACCUCAAAUCAGGUAGGACUACCCGCUGAAC